GAAGGGACCUAGCGUAGUUCGGAAUUACUGGGCUUAAAGAGUUCGUAGGUGGUUGAAAAAGUUGGUGGUGAAAUCCCAGAGCUUAACUCUGGAACUGCCAUCAAAACUUUUCAGCUAGAGUUUGAUCGAGGAAAGCAGAAUUUCUAGUGUAGAGGUGAAAUUCGUAGAUAUUAGAAAGAAUACCAAUUGCGAAGGCAGCUUUCUGGAUCAUUACUGACACUGAGGAACGAAAGCAUGGGUAGCGAAGAGGAUUAGAUACCCUCGUAGUCCAUGCCGUAAACGAUGUGUGUCUGACGUUGGAAAUUUAUUUUCAGUGUCGCAGCCCGCACAAGUGGUGGAGCAUGUGGUUUAAUUCGAAGAUACGCGCAGAACCUUACCAACACUUGACAUGUUCGUCGCGACUUUAAGAGAUUAAAGUUUUCGGUUCGGCCGGACGAAACACAGGUGCUGCAUGGCUGUCGUCAGCUCGUGUCGUGAGAUGUUGGGUUAAGUCCCGCAACGAGCGCAACCCUCACUUUUAGUUGCCAUCAUUAAGUUGGGCACUCUGAAAGAACUGCCAGUGAUAAGCUGGAGGAAGGUGGGGAUGACGUCAAGUCCUCAUGGCCCUUACGUGUUGGGCUACACACGUGCUACAAUGGUAUUUACAAAAGGAAGCAAGACGGCGACGUUUAGCAAAUCCUUAAAAAAUACCUCAGUUCGGAUUGCACUCUGCAACUCGAGUGCAUGAAGCUGGAAUUACUAGUAAUCGUGGAUCAGCGUGCCACGGUGAAUGCGUUCCCGGGCCUAUGU
rnacentral:rRNA from 1 species